rnacentral:miRNA from 1 species
ACGACAGAUAUUGAGUUCUAC